rnacentral:rRNA from 1 species
CCUACGGGAGGCUGCAGUGAGGAAUAUUGGUCAAUGGGCGCGAGCCUGAACCAGCCAAGUCGCGUGAGGGAUGACGGCCCUACGGGUUGUAAACCUCUUUUGCCGGGGAGCAACGGGCGCCACGUGUGGCGCCACUGAGAGUACCCGGAGAAAAAGCAUCGGCUAAUUCCGUGCCAGCAGCCGCGGUAAUACGGAGGAUGCGAGGGUUAUCCGGAUUUAUUGGGGUUAAAGGGUGCGUAGGCGGAGCGUUAAGUCAGUGGUCAAAUUGAGGGGCUCAACCCCUUCCCGCCAUUGAAACUGGCGGUCUGGAGGGUAAGAGAAGUAUGCGGAAGGCGUGGUGGAGCGGUGAAAUGGAUAGAAAUCCCGCAGAAACCCGAUGGCGAAGGCAGCAUGCCGGCUUCCGAAUGACGCUGAAGCACGAAAGCGUGGGGAUCGAACAGGAUUAGAGACCCCGGUAGUC